AACGCUGGCGGCAUGCCUUACACAUGCAAGUCGAACGGCAGCACGGGAGCAAUCCUGGUGGCGAGUGGCGAACGGGUGAGUAAUGUAUCGGAACGUGCCCAGUCGUGGGGGAUAACGCAGCGAAAGCUGUGCUAAUACCGCAUACGAUCUAUGGAUGAAAGCGGGGGAUCGCAAGACCUCGCGCGACUGGAGUGGCCGAUAUCAGAUUAGCUAGUUGGUGGGGUAAAGGCUCACCAAGGCGACGAUCUGUAGCUGGUCUGAGAGGACGACCAGCCACACUGGAACUGAGACACGGUCCAGACUCCUACGGGAGGCAGCAGUGGGGAAUUUUGGACAAUGGGCGCAAGCCUGAUCCAGCAAUGCCGCGUGCAGGAUGAAGGCCUUCGGGUUGUAAACUGCUUUUGUACGGAGCGAAAAGGUACUCUCUAAUACAGGGUGCUCAUGACGGUACCGUAAGAAUAAGCACCGGCUAACUACGUG
rnacentral:rRNA from 1 species